CAUCUCUAUGCGGAGAUGCUGAUUGGCCAGGGCUGUGUUUGACUUGUGCUGGCUCUGCCCCUAAUCUGCCUCCUUGACAAUCUCAGCCCGUCCUAUCGGGAAGCAUUGUGAUUGGAUCAGUCCACAAACAUCUGAUGAUGAUGGCGGACAGCAGGAAGAUCAGAGGCAGAGUCAGCACUGACUGAGCACCAGAACUGCGAGGGCACACUGAUAUUGGUACAGACAAUGAAACUCCUCAAUUGGACCACCAUAGAUCCACUGGACCACAAGGAAAGGUAAGCAGGAGGAAGGGGGAGCAUACAUACCCAGACACACCAUACAGGCACACUCAGACUCACCUACACAUAACACUCAGCCACACUCAGACUCCACACAGACACACUCAGCCUCUCCCCAUACAGCUCUCAUCCUCCUCCACACACAACACCCAGCCACUACUCACACACAAUACUCAGUCAACACACACCACUCUUAAAAAUAGAGCCCAAGAAUUUAGGAGGGGGCCCCAAUCUGGCACCCUGCCUAGGGCUCUGGGCAAUCUUAAUUGAAUUCUGCUUGGUAUGCAGCCUGGAGAGAGAAAGAUG